GCGCACCAGGCGCGAAACCUCCGCAAUGCGGGAAACCGCGACGGGGGACCCCGAGCGCCGUGGCAACGCCACGGCUUUUCCGGAGUGUAAAAAGCUCCGGGAAUAAGGGCUGGGCAAGGCCGGUGGCAGCCGCCGCGGUAAUACCGGCGGCCCGAGUGGUGGCCGCUAUUAUUGGGCCUAAAGCGUCCGUAGCCGGGCCCGUAAGUCCCUGGCGAAAUCCCACGGCUCAACCGUGGGGCUUGCUGGGGAUACUGCGGGUCUUGGGACCGGGAGAGGCGGGGGGUACCCCUGGGGUAGGGGUGGAAAUCCUAUAAUCCCAGGGGGACCGCCAGUGGCGAAGGCGCCCCGCUGGAACGGGUCCGACGGUGAGGGACGAAGGCCAGGGGAGCAAACCGGAUUAGAUACCCCCGUAGU
rnacentral:rRNA from 1 species